UCAAGUUACAAAGGGCGCAGGGCGGAUGCCUUGGCACCAGGAGCCGAAGAAGGACGUGAUAAGCUGCGAAAAGCUGCGGGGAGGAGCAAAUAUCCAUUGAUCCGCAGGUAUCCGAAUGGGGAAACCCGGCAGAAAGAACUUCUGUCACCGUAUGAUGAAUCCAUAGUCAUACGGAGGGAACCCGGCGAACUGAAACAUCUAAGUAGCCGGAGGAAGAGGAAGAAACAUCGAAUCCCUAAGUAGUGGCGAGCGAAAGGGGACGAAGCCCAAACCAAGGAUUUAUCCUUGGGGUUGAGGACCACAUACGAAGAAGCAGUAGGUAGCAGAACGGUUUUGGGAAAGCCGGCCAAAGAGAGUGAAAGCCUCGUAUGCGAAACAGACUGUGAUUCAGUGGUAUCCGGAGUACUACGGGACACGAGAAACCCCGUAGGAAGCAGGGGGGACCACCCCCCAAGGCGAAAUACUACCUGGUGACCGAUAGAGUAUAGUACCGUGAGGGAAAGGUGAAAAGAACCCCGGGAGGGGAGUGAAAGAGAACCUGAAACCCUGUGUCUACAAGCUGCGGAAGAGCGACUAACGCUCGACCGUGUACUUUUUGUAGAACGGUCCGGCGAGUUGCCGUUGCUGGCAGGUUAAGUACUUAAGGUACGGAGCCGAAGGGAAACCAAGUCUUAAUAGGGCGGUAAGUCAGUAACGGCAGACCCGAAACCGGGUGACCUACCCAUGGCCAGGAUGAAGUCUGCGUAAAAGUGGAUGGAGGUCCGAACACACGUCUGUUGAAAAAGGCGGUGAUGAGCUGUGGGUAGCGGAGAAAUUCCAAUCGAACUCGGAGAUAGCUGGUUCUCCCCGAAAUAGCUUUAGGGCUAGCCUCGGUAUAGUCUAAUGGAGGUAGAGCACUGAAUCGCUGCGGGGGCGUCAAAGUCUACCAAUGCGUAUCAAACUCCGAAUGCCAUAUAGAUGUUUACCGGGAGUCAGACUGUAUGAGAUAAGUCGGACAGUCAAAAGGGAAACAGCCCAGACCAUCUGCUAAGGUCCCAAAGUGUAUGUUAAGUGGUAAAGGAUGUGGGGUUUCGAAGACAACUAGGAUGUUGGCUCAGAAGCAGCCAUUCAUUCAAAGAGUGCGUAAUAGCUCACUAGUCGAGAGGUCCUGCGCCGAAAAUGUCCGGGGCUGAAACAUAACACCGAAGCAAUGGAAUAUACCGCAAGGUAUGUUGGUAGGGGAGCAUUGAUAACACGAAGAAGCGGUACCGUAAGGAGUCGUGGAGAGUUAUCAAGAGAGAAUGCCGGAAUGAGUAGCGAGAUGAAGGUGAGAAUCCUUCAGGCCGUAUAUCCAAGGUUUCCAGGGUAAAGCUGAUCUUCCCUGGGGAAGUCGGGACCUAAGCUCAGGCUGAGAAGCGUAGGCGAUGGACAACUGGUUGAUAUUCCAGUACCUCUGGCUAUCAGAAAUGUGGGGACACGGAGAUUCAGGGAGUGCCUGUAAAGGAUUCAGGUGCAAGCAUGGUUUAUGCCGGGCAGGCAAAUCCGUCCGGGUAAGUGAACUGUGUGAUGCGGACCGAAAUAUAAGUAGGGAAGCUCCUGGGAGAGCCGUCGAGAAAAGCCGCUAUUGUGUAGUCAGAGCCCGUACCGUAAACCGACACAGGUGGAUGGGGAGAGUAUCCCAAGGCCGGCGGGAGAAGCAUUGUUAAGGAACUCGGCAAAAUGGCCCCGUAAGUUCGCGAUAAGGGGUGCCUGUAGAGAUACAGGCCGCAGAGAAUAGGCUCAAGCAACUGUUUAGCAAAAACACAGGUCUAUGCGAAACCGUAAGGUGAUGUAUAUGGGCUGACGCCUGCCCGGUGCUGGAAGGUUACGGGGAGUGCUUAGGAGUAAUCCGAAGGUACGAACUUAAGCCCCAGUAAACGGCGGCCGUAACUAUAACGGUCCUAAGGUAGCGAAAUUCCUUGUCGGGUAAGUUCCGACCCGCACGAAAGGCGUAAUGAUUUGAGCGCUGUCUCAACAAUGCACCCGGUGAAAUUGAAGUACCAGUGAAGAUGCUGGUUACCUGCGCCAGGACGGAAAGACCCCAUGGAGCUUUACUC
rnacentral:rRNA from 1 species